UUUGAUAAAAAAGAAGUAUUGUCUUCUAAAGUGAAUACAAUCAUGCUAGACAUUGUUGACUAAAAACCCAUGCUCAAUGCAUGAAGAACAUCCAUGAUGACACAAGUUCUUCAAUUGAUUAGCUCCAAGAAGAUCCUUGUUGUCACUAAAUAGAACAUCCAUGAAAAACCUGGGUACAUUUUGCAAUUGCAAUUUGCUGUUAAAAACACAUGCAGACCUUAAAUCUGUAUUUCCCCGUUGCUUUCUGACAGUCAACAUUUUCAUUAACGCCAUGCGAAUACAGAGUAGCCGAAAGAUGGAAGCAUAAACAUCAUUAUGAAAACAAACCAGUUUGGUUGUGGUUAAAAGAGGGAUUCUUUUGUUAACAGAUAAGCUUGCAGGAGAACAGUCAGUGAAGACUACGCGCUAUUAAUACUAGAAAAUUUUCAAACAGACAACGAAAGACCUCGGAUACGCAAACAAAAGCCCCCACCAUACUUACCAUACAAAGCAUUUCCUUCCUCUUCUCUAUCUGUCUCUCUUCCUCGUCUUUCGUGCUGUAUAAUUUUAACACUCUCUCUCUCUGCUUUCCUUAAAUCAAAGCUCAUUCUUAAGCGUAAAAGCACUCUCUUUUUUCCUUCUUCAGUUUAUUUCCUUUUCUUUUGUACCCUUUGGAACUUUGUUUUAUUUAGCUCUCUCUUUCUAUUAGAUAGAGAGCUAGGGUUUUUGUAGUAGUAAAGAUGUGCUCUUCAAUUCAGGAGCAGCUCCAAGGUCCUUCUGUUCAUGCUCUUUCUCUUUUGCUAUCGUUGCAGUUCCCUGAAAGCUGGUUGCUUCCCAACAGGUUUAAACAGCACAAUGAUGCUGUUGAAGAUCAUCAUCUGUUUGAACGUUGAAUGUGAAAUUUUACUAGCUUUAAGGUACUAAUGAAUUAAAGCAUUGAUAUACUCAGAUAUUGGGAAUGAAGCCAUCGGUCCGUGUAGCAUAGGGUACAUGUAUAAUAUUUGACAGUUAUUGUAAAUUUUUAGUGUGCUCCAAAUUACUUUUAGCUGAUAGGAACAAUGUGCUAAUUUUUUUUUAUCUUCUGAUUUUUCUUCGAAUCAUUAUCUUUUAAUACAUUCAAAAUUCUCCUCUUUCUCUA